GACGAACGCUGGCGGCGUGCUUAACACAUGCAAGUCGAACGGAAAGGCCCUGCUUUUGUGGGGUGCUCGAGUGGCGAACGGGUGAGUAACACGUGAGUAACCUGCCCUUGACUUUGGGAUAACUUCAGGAAACUGGGGCUAAUACCGGAUAGGAGCUCCUGCUGCAUGGUGUGGGUUGGAAAGUUUCGGCGGGUGGGGAUGGACUCGCGGCUUAUCAGCUUGUUGGUGGGGUAGUGGCUUACCAAGGCUUUGACGGGUAGCCGGCCUGAGAGGGUGACCGGCCACAUUGGGACUGAGAUACGGCCCAGACUCCUACGGGAGGCAGCAGUGGGGAAUAUUGCACAAUGGGCGGAAGCCUGAUGCAGCAACGCCGCGUGCGGGAUGACGGCCUUCGGGUUGUAAACCGCUUUCGCCUGUGACGAAGCGUGAGUGACGGUAAUGGGUAAAGAAGCACCGGCUAACUACGUG
rnacentral:rRNA from 1 species